GUGAACGCUGGCGGUAGGCCUAACACAUGCAAGUCGAACGGCAGCACAGUAAGAGCUUGCUCUUACGGGUGGCGAGUGGCGGACGGGUGAGGAAUACAUCGGAAUCUACUUUUUCGUGGGGGAUAUCGUAGGGAAACUUACGCUAAUACCGCAUACGCCCUACGGGUGAAAGCAGGGGAUCUUCGGACCUUGCUCGAUUGAAUGAGCCGAUGUCGGAUUAGCUAGUUGGCGGGGUAAAGGCCCACCAAGGCGACGAUCCGUAGCUGGUCUGAGAGGAUGAUCAGCCACACUGGAACUGAGACACGGUCCAGACUCCUACGGGAGGCAGCAGUGGGGAAUAUUGGACAAUGGGCGCAAGCCUGAUCCAGCCAUACCGCGUGGGUGAAGAAGGCCUUCGGGUUGUAAAGCCCUUUUGUUGGGAAAGAAAAGCAGCAGGUUAAUACCCCGCUGUUCUGACGGUACCCAAAGAAUAAGCACCGGCUAACUUCGUG
rnacentral:rRNA from 1 species